AUUGAACGCUGGCGGCAGGCCUAACACAUGCAAGUCGAGCGGAUGAAGGGAGUUUGCUCCUGGAUUCAGCGGCGGACGGGUGAGUAAUGCCUAGGAAUCUGCCUGGUAGUGGGGGAUAACGUCCGGAAACGGGCGCUAAUACCGCAUACGUCCUGAGGGAGAAAGUGGGGGAUCUUCGGACCUCACGCUCUCAGAUGAGCCUAGGUCGGAUUAGCUAGUUGGUGGGGUAAAGGCCUACCAAGGCGACGAUCCGUAACUGGUCUGAGAGGAUGAUCAGUCACACUGGAACUGAGACACGGUCCAGACUCCUACGGGAGGCAGCAGUGGGGAAUAUGGGACAAUGGGCGAAAGCCUGAUCCAGCCAUGCCGCGUGUGUGAAGAAGGUCUUCGGAUUGUAAAGCACUUUAAGUUGGGAGGAAGGGCAGUAAGUUAAUACCUUGCGGUUUUGACGGUACCAACAGAAUAAGCACCGGCUAACUUCGUG
rnacentral:rRNA from 1 species